CUUCUCCUAUCAAUGAAAAAGCUAUCUGAGAAGGGAGACUGAUGCGUCUCUUCCUCUGCGGAUGCAGAGCGGGCUCAGGGUUUGAAUCGAGAUUGGUCACGGCAGUGACUCGAACGAGGUUUUUCUUCGCUCGCAGUGCAAGCGUUCUUCUGUUCUGGCGACGCCCAACAGCUGAUCCUCAAACACGUCACCUCACGCUGCUCUCUCGUCCGAACACGAUGUUGCCAGUUCAUCUCUCACUACAUCUUCGAUAUCAUACAAAACGGGACACCAAACAGUCCGCAAUGUGCGAGAGAAUUUCGACGACCGUUGCGUCGGUAAUCUUUCAGACUCAAGGUUUGUAAUAUCCCAGGAUUCUUGCCUUUCCUCACGAUUGCAUUGCGGAUGAUUCGGCGCAGUUCACCGUGAACAGAUGACCUCUCGCGUGCCCCUAGUAGGGCGCAAGACGGCUGUUCUGACACGAUGCGCACUCCUAUCCGGAUUUGGGAAACAAGCACUUCUCCCGCGUACUUCACGCGCCAGUCGUUGGCCUCAUUUGUUUCUAUUGCUUCGCAAGCAGUGGGUCAGCCACGGUUCUUCUGCUUUUAUCAUACGCACGUAUCACACGGAACAGUGUUUGGAAAUUUUCCACUCCCCUCAGGUAGCCGCGUUUCUUCGACCUGCAUAGGAAAGUCGAAUACUAGACCGAAUCCUUCUUUUGGUGUUCAGCAUUUUGCCAACAGCGUUUUCUCUGUGUAGAAACAGGCUGUUGUUCAAGGCCGAUUCGCUUUCUUUGAUUCUGGUAAGACCGUGGGUUCUGCCGCUCGCUUGAGGGGUCUGAAGGAAUCUGUUUUGGCAUCGUCUGUCUUCUGAACUUAAUUUCGAUACGUGGGAGAGGUGCUUGCGACUACUUGCUUCAUGGUGGUUCCAGUAUAUGAAGCAAAAUCAUGUAC
rnacentral:lncRNA from 1 species